UCCAUUUUGAACCAUUAGCUAUCCAUUCCGAUUAUUCGUUAGACUUAACCUUUUUAUUGUAUUCCCACAGACCCAUAAACAAUUUCAAAAACAAUUGUACAAUAUCAAAAUCUAUAGUAAGGACACAACGUCCUAUCCAUAGUUCACAACAAGACAGGUAGUAUCAAGGUCGAGCAGCAGGUAAAAUAAAUCUAUUCGAGUCAUCCACAUCAACCAAAUGAUUCCUAAAUAUGAGUAAAAGAUGCUUAUGCAUAGCAUCUUUAUCCAAAUCUUUCUCCUUUGCUGGAGCACAUUGUACUACAGUGUCGUUUCAGUUCUAAAGCCUUAUGAGUCGUCCUUUUACCAACGAGCCUGAGCCACACCGAGAUGCGAGUACAAUGAAUUUAUAAGAAUCAUCCCCCUAUCCCUUUCCCCUUCUGAAAGUUUUUGAAAUUUCAGAAGGAAUUGACAUAUUCCUAAUGUUUUGGAUGAACAUUUGGGUUUGAAUUUUAAUUGGUCCUUGUUCCUAUCCGUUUCUCAUCCUUUUCCACAAAAAUUGAACCUUAAUUUACUUCAUUAUAACCCCCUCUUUUUUUAAUGUGAAGAUAUUUGAAAUUUUUUUGAAUAGAAUUUUGGUAGAGAAAACAAUAGUUUAUAGAGAAAAGUUUUUUUACGGUCCUGAAUAGAGAGUCAAAACUUCAACAAAAAAAUUAUCUGUUAGAAUCCAAAAGGAUUUGCAUCUUUGAUAUCUCUUUCUUCUAUCAUGGAUUGUCAGAUCUCACCAAUGUUAUUUAAAUUCGAAGUGGUGGUAGAUGCUCUAAUCGAGUUAGUCAGUUCAAGUUUGGUCCCCAAAAUUGGUUCGUUCUCUUUUACUGAUUCUCCCUCCCCUCUCUUAUUUUGAAUCAGAAAUGAUGAAGUGCUAUAUGUGAAAUGUUUAAAUGAUUUGUUUUAAUUUUGUCGGCUCCGAUGUGGUUUCUUUUCAUUUUGAGGAUAAAUUAUUUAUUUGUUUUAUUUAACUUGGAUUAAUCUGAUAUUCAUUUUGAUUAAAUGUUGAGUUUAAAUGUUGUAUCAUUCAAAUUUUUUACCGCGUGUUUUUUCUCCUACAUAGUUAUUUUUAUGAUGUUUAUCUUCUUUAAGCCAUAAUAGCAUAUUUCCACUAUUAUUAACCUAUUAUUAUUUUGUAGGUAAAUCUUUUCUAUUUUAAAUGUUGACUUUUUCGUGUGUAUGUUGGCUUUUAAUGAGAUUUUAAUAGCUUAUCAUAACCUUGUUUUACAUUAGCUUAUUUGUUUGCUGUUAUUUCAUUUCUGGAACGCAUAUGUUUUCCUUCGUAAGUUGGGGUUGCUUGGUUUUCCGAAGUGAAGUUAAAAUUCAAUUGUACCUUUUAUUCUUAAGUGUAGUUUGACUUGUUUUGAUGCUAUUCCUCCAUCAUAGAUCAACAUAAUAGUUUUAACUUUUUAGAUUUAAACGUUCUCUUCACACGAGAAGAGUUUUUCUUUAGUCAAGAGAUAGUCAUUAGAACAAAAUUCUAACAAUUUUUAUGUUUGUCGUUUCAUUAUUAUAUCAAUUUUCUUAUUUCUUUUUCAUGUGUAUAUUUUUUCGUUGUUUCUAGUUGUUAAAAUGUGACUUCCUUAUGUUUUUUAUUAUCUGGUUUUGGUUAACUUAAUUAAUUAUGUGAUCCAAUCAUACUAGGUUUAGGUGUAUGUAUCUACAUUGGUGCCUUUGGUUUAUUGAAAUGUGCGUAAUUCUCUAUUUAAUUUUGCAUAGUUUGUUAUUCUUUAUCUUUUCCUUUACUAUGCUGUUGUACUUUAAUUGUUAGUUAUUCUUUGGUUAUCUAUUGUUCUUCUUAAUUAAAGUAAAAUGAUAUGAUGUUAUUUCCAUUGUUUCUUUUCCUAUUAAAACCCAUCAUGGAUUUUUUGCUGUGUAUCAAAAACUACUUUGAUCUUGACAACUUACUUUUGUCGUAUGGGAGUUAAAUCAAUUUUGUUGUUCAUUAUAACUUAUUGAUCCUUAUCUUAUAAAUUUUGUUGCAUGUAAAUCUAUCUCAGUCUUCCCGGAACACUUUCUCCAUUCCACGUAUUUUCCAAUUUGUGCCACAAGGCCCAAAAUUUGUCUUUUUUGAGUAGGCCAGCCACAAAAAUCAAUGAAAAAAUUCCAAGAUUAUGUUUAUAUUAAGAAUACAUGAUAAUGUGCCGCUAAUUGGAGUGUAGCAUAAAUGGACUUAAAAGCGCACCUUUUAUUUUUAAAGACGUAUUUUUGUUACUUUGGGCCUAAGCCCAUUUUGUCAUUAUUAUUGUUAUUAUGUGUUUAUAAUUAGGACAUGUACAAAAUUCAAGGAUUGGCCUAGAGCCCAAUGGAGAAAUCAAUUUACCUUAGUUUCUUUAGGACCUAUGCAAACUGGCCAUAUGUCCAAAUUUGAAUUCCAGCCCAAGAGCUGGCCAGUCAGACAUAUCCACCACAAAUUUUAUUUCCUUAUCAAUUUAACUGUCACUAUUUGUUUAAUUGGUAAGUUGAUUUUAAGGUUUCAAAAAUUCAAUUUCUUAAAGGAAACCAUUUUGAGUUAACACAUAUAUAUUUGCUAAAAUUAAAUAAGAUUAUAUAUUUUCUACUUGACCAUCUUUAGUAUAUUUUCAAAUUAUUGUCUUAAGUAAUAUUUCUCUUCUACUUGACCUUGUUUAUUAUAUUCUCAAGUUAUUUGCUUAUGUAAUAUUUCUCCUCCCCUUGAAAAAUAAUUUUCAUUUUUGAACUUUAAUGUCAGUAACUUAGUCAAGCUAUAAAAAAUAACAUUGAAAGCCUUGAGAGUUGAUUCGACCUUGUAACUAGCCUGAAAUCACUUUUUCGGAGCUGAUGGAAUCUUCAAAAUUUGAUUCUGAUGUCAACUUCCUGAACAUUUAAUAAAAGUAACCAUUCAAGGUUCUAAAUCACCAAAACAGAUAGAUUUGAAUAAAAACCAAACUAACAACCAGGUGACAAAACUAUCAGUCUUAUCAAGUUAUAAAGUACUCGAAGCAGCUACAUGAACUCUCUAAAUCACAAAUAGAAGGCAUAAUGUACCUCGAAAAUCCAAUACAUAAUAUAGAGCUGUGAAUGGAGUUAAAAUGGUGUUUUUUGACCUAACCUCAAGUAAUUAACUUGGUUAGACGGUAUUAGAGUAAAUAUAACAAGGAACGACCAUGACGUCCAUAGACUAGUGAAAAUGAUUUUUCAAGGAGUCUGGAAGGUUAGUCGAAUGAAUGAUAAAUCAUGUAAACAUGCUUCGAAUACAUAUUAGUAUGUAUUAAGGGUCAAAACGUCCGGGUAUGACUCCCAAAUGACCAUCCGAGGGGUCCUUGAGAAGGACCCAACCAAUUGACCCAAAAUUUAUCAAAAAGCAGCAAGCAAUCCACGAGAGAAAUUGUCACCCCAUCAACAGACUCAUGCCCCGUCAAUGGCGUUUUGUGAGUCAUACUUAGAGUUAUGCAGCAUUGGAUCCAUUUGAGCACUUUCUGAAUAAAAUGACGGAGUGCCAGGACGAUUCGUUCACAGUUUGAAGAACAACAAAUCAUGGGCGUUGAUAUUGUCUGCAUAUUGGUAGAAACAUGGCCAAGCUAAGUUUUGUUUGUAAAUUCCACCAUCUUCCAUUAAAAUAAUGGGACGUAUUAAAAUUUUUACUCAAGGUAUAUUAAAGGAUUUUAAGACAUAAAACAAGCAUUUAAACCUUAUAAUCCCAAAACCCUAAAGGCUCCAGUUUCUCUCUAGAUUCUCUCUUUAACCAAGGAGUUUAUUGAAAAACAAAGUCAAAGCUUCAAGUAGAGAUCAAGAACAAGGAUUUUAAUCACAAAUCCUUGGGAUUUACAAGGUAUGGGAACUCUUCACUCUUGAAACUCCUUUACCCAAGAGGUUCCUUCAAAUUGAAUUUUAAUGUUGUUCCAAAUUUCUACAUUUUACCUUAAUUCGUAAGUUAACUUAAACUAGACUUACUUUUACUAGAAUUGAUUAAUAAUGAUCGAUUAUGAAUGUUUAUAAAUGAAUUGAUGUAUUAAUAUAGGUUUUUGACCUAAUUCAAUAAUGAUCCAUGACUAACCCUUUUUUCCUAACCCUAGCUUUUGUAAUAUGUUAAUUAAUGCUUAAACGUGAUGUAAUUGAGUAUGUUAUUGCAUAAUUGACUGUUGCAUGAUGAUGAUAGUUGUUUUGAUGGGUUAAUUUCAUUGUUUUAGGAAGAAGUAUUGAAAGGGUUUCUUGGAGGCCACUGAAAAGACCUUCAAGGUAUUUACAUUUGAAACGCCCUGGUACGACUCCCCAAGUGCCACACAGCAAGCCUUCAAGGAGGACCAAAAGGUUGUCGACACAUUACCUUGGUAGUGUCAAUCGACAGAGCCAAAGGAGGCCUCGUCAGUCCACCAAUGCUCCAUCGAUGGAAACUUAGCCUGGUGAAAGCUUUAGGAUGUUGUUAAGCCUCAGAAUCAAUCAAUGUCCUACAGUACGGUCCGUUGAUAGACCUACAUGGCAUCGUUUGUCGCGUCGAUGAUUUCAAUCCAAUUGCAUUAUGAAUUGAUGCUCCCAUCCAACUCUCGUUUUAUGCUAUGUAUUGGCUAGUAUGAUCUUUAUACUAGGAGGAGUGUAAUGUGAUUCAGGUAUCCAAUGUGGACCAAGGCUUGAAGAUCUGGUUGUAUUGGUUCAUGUUCUCCUAUCUUCUAUAAAUUAUUAAUGUAAUUUAAUGUAUCUCGACUCUAUGGUAAUAGGAUUAUGAUUUCUUAUAGGGUUAAAUGUACUUUAGCUACUGCCUAUAAUGUGUUAUGAUGAUGAAUUAUGUCUUGUUGUCCCAAUGUUGAUAGAUACUUGAAGAACUUAAUCUCUACUUCUUACAUAUUGUUAAGUAUGGCAUUUAGUGUAACAUUGACUCUAUAAUGCAUGAUUGAAGGCUUCGUUUAUUUAAAUAAAAUUGUAGCUACUGCGUUAUUUGGUGUUAUUUAUGAAUUGUGGGUAUUAAUCAUUCAUGAUCAAACUAAGGGAAUCUAAGGAAGAUUGAUCUUCAUUCUUUUAGCCUAAAGAUUGAUAAAUUGUGUACAUAAUGUGAUCUCACUUCUAGGGGUGAUGAAGCAUGAGUUAGACUACGUUAUUAUGUCUUUUGCUACAGCCCUAGAUUGAUAUAAUUGAUGAAAUAUGAUUGAUAAUUAAAUCAAGUUAAAUUUGUUAAUUAUCAACAUCUCUACUUUCCAGUAUAUUGGUGAUGUAUUGUACUAUGUUGUAGCAUUGUAUUGUUGUGGCUUGUGAAUUGUUUCUUUUAUGAUUAAAGCACAUUUAGCCACUGCCCGUUUAUAUUAAUCGUUGAUGAAAAAGGCUUAUUGAUCAAUGAUGAUAAAGUCUAAAUGAUUUGUAAGAAUUGCCUUAUUGCUCUACUUCUCUAUUUCUCGAUAGUAUUGUUGAUAGAAUUGGCCUUUUAUGACAUUUUGUGUUAUGGUCCACUUAUGGUGGCGGUGAUUACUUUAUUGUAAAUAUAUAUGUGAUGCAAUCAUGGCCUAGAAGAUAAUCAUACAAUGAAUUUGUAUUGGUGAUGAUCACCCUAUGAAAAGGUUUUGCCUAGUUUUCCUAUUCUAGUUAUGAUCUAGGUUGUAUUUCUUAUGUCACAAGUAAAUGUAAGACCAUGUUGGGGUUUGAUUAGGUACCGCCUUAUAUGAUUAUAAUUGGUUAAUGAUCCCUUACCUAUGUACCCCAAUGUGAAAGUGUGAAUAGCUAAGGUUAGGAGUCUUAAGUGUAAUAUGAAGUUAGCUUGUCUCCUAUGCUAAAUUGUGUUGUAUGGUCUAUGCUUGAAUGUGAAUUGUGGUCCUAAGAGGGUGGCUGCCUCAAUGUUUUUUGAUAGCAAUUAUGUGAUCAUGUUUACCAACAUACGCACACUCACAGUUCAUGCAUUCUUAUAAGUAGUGUAGGUUCAUUGUGUAUAAUGAAAGGUAUUUUCAUAUGCAAUUGUGUCUACUACUAUGCAUUUAAAGUGUAUUUCUAUGAAGUAUUUUAUGUAUUCUAUUACCUAGGAUGACUUGAUACAUGUACUAGUACGGGAAAGGGUAUGGGACCUUGUCUAUGCAAUGCACAUGUGUGCCUUUAUAGAAUUCGUUCCUAGGUUUGGUUUUCUAUGUGCAUGAAUAUGUUAAGAAUUUUUUUUAACGUGUUUAUAUGAAAGGAUUGAUAAUAUAGUCGCAGCUAUACACUUAUGCAUUGAUUUAUGAAGAUGUGUGACCAUAAUGUACUAUAUGAAAGGUUUGCUCACAUAUAAAUAUACACCUACACACAUGUAUGAUGGUCCAGUCAAUCCUUGAAAGGUGUGCUCAAGUGUACCCUAAACUUCAUAGGUGCUUACAUAUGCUAUGUCCAUGUGAAAUGGUUUCUCACAAGAUUUAUAUUGAUGAACUCUGAUCUAUGACCUAUGAGCUAAAUAUGACGAGUUAUUUCUCCUAAGCGUAAUAAUUAAAAGUAAUGUUAAUGAGCGUUUUUAAUAAAAGGGAACUUAUAUUAGAACCAAGAGAACUUGAAGUUGAGUGGUUUCCCUUACCAUUUGAGUAAGGUAGGUAACCAUAGUCCUCACGAAGUGGUUAGCCGCAUAGACAAAAGGGCAUAGAGUGAUUUUUCAUUAUGGAUAACUAUAAUGCCCCAUUUGGCAUAAAAAGGGUUUCUACAAAUGCAUCCAACUUCCAUAACUAUGCUUGCCACAUAAAAUCGAGCAAGUUAUUUCUCUUAGUAUGCUAGCAUGUGUUAAUGUUCUCGUUGGCUAAUUAGAGAACCUUCCAUUGGUGUAAGGUUGUACAACACCAAAUUCCAUGUAGCACCCAUGGUCUCAGUGUUGGUUAAGGAUAUAGUUUCCCUAAUGUAAAAUGGACAAUGGAAGUAAAGUAUGGAUCCUAACUAGGAUAACCUAAGGGUAGUUGCUUAGUGUAGGUGGGGGUAUGUGACUACACCUAUGAAUUGCACAAGUGUCUCCGAAGGGAAGUCCUAGGAAAAUGUACAAAUUCAUGUGACUAUGUUUAUGUUCCUUGUGAAUUACUUUGUAGUAUUUCUCUACCAUCUAUAACGAUGUGCAUGGUAUGAGUCCUAAUUGAUCUAUCUGAUGAAGGUCUUUCCUAGUUUGGAUGAAUUUGUCUUCACUUGCUAUGUUGAUGUAUGAAUUUGAUUUUAGCGCUUGUGCUCUAAUAAUAGGUUUACUAAGUAUGUAUUAUUUUAUGGGAUUCACAUGUAUAUUUCACUAGUAGACUUAGAUUGGGGUUCUGAGCAAGGUUUUAUAAUGCAUUGAUGUGAAGUUAAGUUAGUAUAUGUGCAAGUUGAUGUAGCUUACUGUAAAGUGUAUUAGAGUCUUGACUUAAAUAUGUCUAUAAUGUACUAUACUUCUAUGAUGGUAUGAUAAGCUUGUUUAGAUUGUAUGCAUGGUUUCCUUAAGGAUAUGCAUUGCACCAAUUAACUAUAGGGUUUCUUAGGAGGCUAAUGGGUUAAAAGAAAGAAGUUCAGCGUUAAGGGAAAAAUGUUCAUUGUAAAUCAAGAGGUGCUUACUGUAAAAUGAUUAAAAAAUAUCUUAAAUACAUUAUAUGAUUUUUU